rnacentral:rRNA from 1 species
AGUGAACGCUGGCGGUAGGCCUAACACAUGCAAGUUGAACGGCAGCACAGUAAGAGCUUGCUCUUACGGGUGGCGAGUGGCGGACGGGUGAGGAAUACAUCGGAAUCUACUUUUUCGUGGGGGAUAACGUAGGGAAACUUACGCUAAUACCGCAUACGACCUACGGGUGAAAGCAGGGGAUCUUCGGACCUUGCGCGAUUGAAUGAGCCGAUGUCGGAUUAGCUAGUUGGCGGGGUGAAGGCCCACCAAGGCGACGAUCCGUAGCUGGUCUGAGAGGAUGAUCAGCCACACUGGAACUGAGACACGGUCCAGACUCCUACGGGAGGCAGCAGUGGGGAAUAUUGGACAAUGGGCGCAAGCCUGCUCCAGCCAUACCGCGUGGGUGAAGAAGGCCUUCUGGUUGUAAAGCCCUUUUGUUGGGAAAGAAAAGCAGCAGGUUAAUACCCCGCUGUUCUGACGGUACCCAAAGAAUAAGCACCGGCUAACUUCGUG